rnacentral:rRNA from 1 species
AGUGAACGCUGGCGGUAGGCCUAACACAUGCAAGUCGAACGGCAGCACAGUAAGAGCUUGCUCUUACGGGUGGCGAGUGGCGGACGGGUGAGGAAUACAUCGGAAUCUACUUUUUCGUGGGGGAUAACGUAGGGAAACUUACGCUAAUACCGCAUACGACCUACGGGUGAAAGCAGGGGAUCUUCGGACCUUGCGCGAUUGAAUGAGCCGAUGCCGGAUUAGCUAGUUGGCGGGGUAAAGGCCACCAAGGCGACGAUCCGUAGCUGGUCUGAGAGGAUGAUCAGCCACACUGGAACUGAGACACGGUCCAGACUCCUACGGGAGGCAGCAGUGGGGAAUAUUGGACAAUGGGCGCAAGCCUGAUCCAGCCAUACCGCGUGGGUGAAGAAGGCCUUCGGGUUGUAAAGCCCUUUUGUUGGGAAAGAAAAGCAGCAGGUUAAUACCCCGCUGUUCUGACGGUACCCAAAGAAUAAGCACCGGCUAACUUCGUG